rnacentral:rRNA from 1 species
UACGGGGGGGGCAAGCGUUGUUCGGAAUUACUGGGCGUAAAGGGCUCGUAGGCGGCCAACUAAGUCAGACGUGAAAUCCCUCGGCUUAACCGGGGAACUGCGUCUGAUACUGGAUGGCUUGAGAUUGGGAGAGGGAUGCGGAAUUCCAGGUGUAGCGGUGAAAUGCGUAAGUAUAUGGAGGAACACCGGUGGCGAAGGCGGCAUCCUGGACCAACACUGACGCUGAGUGAGCGAAAGCCAGGGGAGCAAACGGG